rnacentral:rRNA from 1 species
UACGUAGGGUGCAAGCGUUGUCCGGAAUUAUUGGGCGUAAAGAGCUCGUAGGCGGUCUGUCGCGUCUGCUGUGAAAGCCUAGGGCUUAACUCUGGGCGUGCAGUGGGUACGGGCAAGCUAGAGUUCGGUAGGGGAGACUGGAAUUCCUGGUGUAGCGGUGAAAUGCGCAGAUAUCAGGAGGAACACCGGUGGCGAAGGCGGGUCUCUGGGCCGAAACUGACGCUGAGGAGCGAAAGCGUGGGGAGCAAACAGG